UGGGGAAUUUUGGACAAUGGGGGCAACCCUGAUCCAGCAAUGCCGCGUGUGUGAAGAAGGCCUUCGGGUUGUAAAGCACUUUUGUCCGGAAAGAAAACUUCGGGGCUAAUACCCCUGGAGGAUGACGGUACCGGAAGAAUAAGCACCGGCUAACUACGUGCCAGCAGCCGCGGUAAUACGUAGGGUGCGAGCGUUAAUCGGAAUUACUGGGCGUAAAGCGUGCGCAGGCGGUGCUGUAAGACCGAUGUGAAAUCCCCGGGCUUAACCUGGGAACUGCAUUGGUGACUGCAGCGCUGGAGUAUGGCAGAGGGGGGUGGAAUUCCACGUGUAGCAGUGAAAUGCGUAGAGAUGUGGAGGAACACCGAUGGCGAAGGCAGCCCCCUGGGCCAAUACUGACGCUCAUGCACGAAAGCGUGGGGAGCAAACAGG
rnacentral:rRNA from 7 species